UACGGAGGGGCUAGCGUUGUUCGGAAUUACUGGGCGUAAAGCGCGCGUAGGCGGACCUGCAAGUCGGGGGUGAAAGCCCGAGGCUCAACCUCGGAACUGCCUUCGAUACUGCGGGUCUCGAGUCCGGGAGAGGUGAGUGGAAUUCCUAGUGUAGAGGUGAAAUUCGUAGAUAUUCGGAAGAACACCAGUGGCGAAGGCGGCUCACUGGACCGGUAUUGACGCUGAGGUGCGAAAGCGUGGGGAGCAAACAGG
rnacentral:rRNA from 1 species